UUUUUUUUUGGUACCAGGCAUUGAAUUCAGGGGCAUUUAAGCACUGAGCAACAUCCGCAUCCCUAUUUUGUAAUCUAUUUAGAGACAGGCUCUCACUGAUUUGCUUAGUCCCUCAACUUGCCCUUGCUGAGGCUGGCUUUCAACUGGAAAUCCUCCCGAAUCAACCUGUGGAGCCACCGCUAGGAUUCCAAGUUGCCUUUUUAUUUGGGGAUUUGGAUUAGGAUCUUCAAAAACUUUUUCAUUUCUUAAUUUUGAGACCGGAGUUUCCAUGUUGGCCAGACUGGCCUCCAACUUGAGGCCUUCCUACCUUGGUCUCCAGCACAGGACUGCUUUCAGGUUUCAUCAGAAGCCUGAAUCUACUCCUCCUUCCUGAGGACACCUGUGCGGGUGGAACUUCAUUUCCACAGGAUCUGGCCCAUUGGAGUGCAGCUCAGUGUUACCGACU
rnacentral:lncRNA from 1 species